ensembl:lncRNA
GUCAUCAAGGAGCAGGUAGGGGUUAGACAGUACAGAGACAGGUCAUUAAGGAGCAGGUAGGGGUUAGACAGUACAGAGACAGGUCAUUAAGGAGCAGGUAGGGGUUAGACAGUACAGAGACAGGUCAUUAAGGAGCAGGUAGGGGUUAGACAGUACAGAGACAGGUCAUUAAGGAGCAGGUAGGGGUUAGACAGUACAGAGACAGGUCAUUAAGGAGCAGGUAGGGGUUAGACAGUACAGAGCAGGUCAUUAAGGAGCAGGUAGGGGUUAGACAGUACAGAGACAGGUCAUUAAGGAGCAGGUAGGGGUUAGACAGUACAGAGACAGGUCAUCAAGGAGCAGGUAGGGGUUAGACAGUACAGAGACAGGUCAUUAAGGAGCAGGUAGGGGUUAGACAGUACAGAGACAGGUCAUUAAGGAGCAGGUAGGGGUUAGACAGUACAGAGACAGG